UAACCAUACCCAGCAGUUAUGGGCAUUGCAAAGAAAACAAAAAUAGGACAAAAGAGAAGAAAUGAUAUUAUGGAGGUUGUAUGCGAUAAUUAUACAUAAAAGUUUAAAUGACAAGACCUUUUGUUUACAGCUGGCCUAUCUCCAAGGUAUGUAGAGUUUUAUUCUUUACCUCUGCAAUGAAGGCUGGGUGACAUCUAAAAUGUAAACAGGCAAAAUGUGAAGGGCUAUAUCACCACUGAAAUAUUACCAAAACUGUAGAGGGUUAACCUGAUAC